rnacentral:rRNA from 1 species
GACGAACGCUGGCGGCGUGCCUAAUACAUGCAAGUCGAACGCAGUGGGGACGGGGUAGUAGCACGUGGGUAACCUCCCAUCAGAGGGGAUAACACUUGGAAACAGGUGCUAAACCGCUACUGAUGGAUGGACCCGCGGGGCAUUAGCUAGUUGGGGAGGUAACGGCUCACCAAGGCCACGAUGCAUAGCUGACCUGAGAGGGUGAUCGGCCACACUGGGACUGAGACACGGCCCAGACUCCUACGGGAGGCAGCAGUAGGGAAUCUUCCGCAAUGGACGAAAGCCUGACCGAGCAACGCCGCGUGAGUGAAGAAGGUUUUCGGAUCGUAAAACUCUGUUGUUAGAGAAGCGUUAUCCAACCAGAAAGCCCCGGCUAACUACGUGCCAGCAGCCGCGGUAAUAC